CCCCCAUUGUACCUUACAUGUUGGAGUUCAGGGACCGCCUGGAGGCCCUAACCCAGGCCGUGCGCACCAAUCUCCAGGCGGCCCAAAAACGACAGCGCCGCUGGUAUGACAGGGGAGCCGGAGACUGCAGCUUUCAAGUGGGACAGAAAGUGUUGAUUUUAAAACCUGUCCGCACCGACAAGCUGCAGGCCAUCUGGCAAGGCCCAAACCUGGUGGUGAAAC